GUGCUCACUUUGGCAGCGCAUAUACUAAAAUUGGAACAAUACAGAGAAGGUUAGCAUGACCCCUGGGUAUGGAUGACAUGCAAAUUUGUGAAGCGUUCCAUAUUUUU